GGGCCCGCACAAGCGGCGGAGCAUGCGGAUUAAUUCGAUGCAACGCGAAGAACCUUACCUGGGUUUGACAUACACCGGAAGCCCCUAGAGAUAGGGGUCUCAUUGAUACUGGUGUACAGGUGGUGCAUGGCUGUCGUCAGCUCGUGUCGUGAGAUGUUGGGUUAAGUCCCGCAACGAGCGCAACCCUCGUUCCAUGUUGCCAGCGGGUUAUGCCGGGGACUCAUGGGAGACUGCCGGGGUCAACUCGGAGGAAGGUGGGGAUGACGUCAAGUCAUCAUGCCCCUUAUGUCCAGGGCUUCACGCAUGCUACAAUGGCCGGUACAAAGGGCUGCGAUCCCGUGAGGGGGAGCGAAUCCCAAAAAGCCGGUCUCAGUUCGGAUUGGGGUCUGCAACUCGACCCCAUGAAGUCGGAGUCGCUAGUAAUCGCAGAUCAGCAACGCUGCGGUGAAUACGUUCCCGGGCCUU
rnacentral:rRNA from 1 species